GGUCAAGCUAAUAAGGGCUAACGGUGGAUACCUAGGCACACGGAAGCGAAGAAGGACGUAGUUACCGACGAAACGCUUCGGGGAGCGGGAAGCAAGCAUUGAUCCGAAGCUAUCCGAAUGGGGCAACCCUAAACACGACCACCUGAAUACAUAGGGUGGAGCGAGCAAACCUGGUGAACUGAAACAUCUUAGUAGCCAGAGGAAAAGAAAGCAACAGCGAUUCCCCCAGUAGCGGCGAGCGAAAAGGGAACAGCCUAAACCAAGUUCUUCGGAACUUGGGGUCGUGGGACGGUGACAAAAGACUGGGAAAUUUAGACGAAGCGGCUGAAAACCGCACCAGAGAGGGUGAAAGUCCUGUAGUCGAAAAAGGAACCGGCUUAACUGCAUCCCGAGUAGCAUGGGGCACGUGAAAUCCCGUGUAAAUCUGCCUCGACCACGAGGUAAGGCUAAAUAUUCCCGUGCGACCGAUAGAGAAACAGUACCGCGAGGGAAAGGUGAAAAGAACCCCGGAAGGGGAGUGAAAUAGAACAUGAAACCGUUAGCCUACAAGCAAUGGGAGGACGAUUGAACGUCUGACCGUGUGCCUGUUGAAGAAUGAGCCGGCGACUUACAGGUUAUGGCAGGUGAAGGGGGAAGACCCCACAGCCCCAGCGAAAGCGAGUCUGAAUAGGGCGAAACGUCAUAAUUUGUAGACCCGAACCCGGGUGAUCUAACCAUGGCCAGGAUGAAGCUUGGGUAAAACCAAGUGGAGGUCCGAACCGACUAAUGUUGAAAAAUUAGCGGAUGAGCUGUGGUUAGGGGUGAAAUGCCAAUCGAACUCGGAGCUAGCUGGUUCUCCCCGAAAUGUGUUGAGGCGCAGCGGUAGUGGAAGUUUAGUCGGGGUAAAGCACUGUUUCGCCGCGGGCUGGGAGACCGGUACCAAGGCGAGGCAAACUCUGAAUACGGCUAAAAAAACUACCAGUGAGACGGUGGGGGAUAAGCUUCAUCGUCAAGAGGGAAACAGCCCAGACCACCAGCUAAGGUCCCCAAAUGAUAACUAAGUGAGAAAGGAGGUGGGAGUGCAUUGACAACCAGGAGGUUUGCCUAGAAGCAGCAACCCUUAAAAGAGUGCGUAAUAGCUCACUGGUCAAGCGCUCCUGCGCCGAAAAUGAACGGGGCUAAGUUAUCUACCGAAGCUGUGGACUACAUUGUAGUGGUAGGGGAGCAUUCUAUAGGGGGUGAAGCAGUAGCGGCAAGCAGCUGUGGACUCUAUAGAAGUGAGAAUGUCGGCUUAAGUAGCGAAAAUGUGGGUGAGAAUCCCACACCCCGAAACCCCAAGGUUUCCUCCGCAAGGCUCGUCCGCGGAGGGUCAGUCAGGACCUAAGGCGAGGCUGAAAAGCGUAGUCGAUGGACAACGGGUUAACAUUCCCGUACCGAUUAAUGAUUGUGCCGGAGAACGGGGAAGGUCAACGUCAGCUGGAUGUUGGUUACCAGUGCAAGCAGUCGAGGCGAUGAGAGGUGGUGAAAACACCAGGAGCUAAGACGCGAGUCCCACCUCCCACGGGAGGGAAGUGGCGCUGAUCAAGCUUCCUAGAAAAGCCCGAACCACGUUAAUCAUUAAUUGCCUGUACCCGAAACCGACACAGGUGGGGAAGUAGAGAAUACUAAGGGGCGCGAGAUAACUCUCUCUAAGGAACUCGGCAAAAUGACCCCGUAACUUCGGGAGAAGGGGUACCCUCGCAAGAGGGUCGCAGUGAAUAGGCCCAGGCGACUGUUUACCAAAAACACAGGUCUCCGCCAAGUCGUAAGACGCAGUAU
rnacentral:rRNA from 1 species